UGCACGCAUUUGGCAUUCCGGUACUGCCGAGUAAGCACACUGGUCAGUUUGAUUCUGUUAAAAAAGUAAAUUAAGAAAUAUAUAAGUAUAUAUUACAUUAAAAAGUUCUAUUUUAAUUUAAAAAAUGAUACGUGUUAGAAGGCAACGUCGGGCUGUUGUGCCUUAUGAAAAUUUUUUCAUUCAUGACGGUUAUAAGUAUCGUAUUAACAGUAGUCAGUCUAAUACUAGAUACUAUGUAUGCAUAAGAAAGACUAGUAAUCAAUGUCCAGCUGAAGGCCUUGUGUGUAAUAACGCAUUUUAAAGGACAAACGCGGUGGCACACAACCACCCUCAAAACGAACGUUUACAAGACGUUGACGUAUUCAAACAAGAAUUAAUGACAGCCAGUGGAAGACAAUUUCGUAAGGUUUCGAAAAUCUACGAUAAUUUAAGUAUUGUAUACCAGGAUAUCAUGGAACAGGUGAACAGGAGUCAAAUUUUUCGACAAAUGAGAAAUCAACAAAAGAAAAUGAAUCUUCCCAAAUUAGGAAAUUCAUUUAAUGACUUUAAAAUUUUAUUAGAUUUACCAGAAUGGAAUGAAUUGAAACUUCAUGAUGGCACCUCAAAUAUUAAUAUAUCAGUUUAUAACACCGGAGAAAAUUAUGCCUCAAUGACGUUUACGGAUAAUGAUAAUUUCAUUAAAUUUGCAGACAGUGAUACAUUAUAUUUAUUGACAGCUAAAAACUUUGAUAUUGAACCUUAUACUGUUAACGAAAUUAUGUUUGUGAUGGUUGUUAAAAGUAACCGGGUAAUUUUUUUCGGAGUGUCUAGCCAUCCGAUAAUUCGGACGAUUAAUUUUUUUUUAUUCUUCCGAUAUUCGGACGAUUAAUAUAUGUUUAUUCGUCCGAUAUUCGGGUGAAAAUAUAGUAUUUUAACAAUGAUGCUAGUCAUCCGAAAAAGAAUAUUUAUUUAGUAUAUAAGGUACAAUUCAAUUUAAGGUUACCAAUGAGUAUACAUUCCGAAAUAAGAUUUAAGCGACAAUUAUACGAUACGUAGCGACAGCGCGUUAAUUAAAAAUAAAUUAUUCAUAAAUAAGAAAUUGAAAAUUAAAUUUAUGUUAAUUCUGCUAUUUACAUUUACUACUUUUUUAGGAACAUUUAUUACUUAUCUUUUUUUAAUUCGUUUUGAAUUGGAGCUGGUACCUGUUACUAUCUGAUUUGUAAAAUUGCUCCUCUUGCAAAAUGCGUGAGCAAUAGGAAAGGAUGCAUUCGGAAAUACUCCAGCUAUAAAUAGUGGCAGGGCGCGAGAGUUUAAAAUUCAAAAAUGAAAUAAUAUUAAUUUAGUAU